rnacentral:rRNA from 1 species
UACGUAGGUGGCAAGCGUUGUUCGGAAUUAUUGGGCGUAAAGGGCGCGUAGGCGGCCUGUUAAGUCAGCUGUGAAAGCCCGGGGCUCAACCCCGGAGGGUCAGCUGAUACUGGCAGGCUAGAGUACAGAAGAGGUAACUGGAAUUCCCGGUGUAGCGGUGGAAUGCGCAGAUAUCAGGAAGAACACCAACGGCGAAGGCAGCUCGCUGGGACGGAACUGACGCUAAGGCGCGAAAGCGUGGGGAGCGAACAGG